GGAUCAUUACUGAGUUUACGCUCUAUAACCCUUUGUGAACAUACCUAUAACUGUUGCUUCGGCGGGUAGGGUCUCCGUGACCCUCCCGGCCUCCCGCCCCCGGGCGGGUCGGCGCCCGCCGGAGGAUAACCAAACUCUGAUUUAACGACGUUUCUUCUGAGUGGUACAAGCAAAUAAUCAAAACUUUUAACAACGGAUCUCUUGGUUCUGGCAUCGAUGAAGAACGCAGCGAAAUGCGAUAAGUAAUGUGAAUUGCAGAAUUCAGUGAAUCAUCGAAUCUUUGAACGCACAUUGCGCCCGCCAGCAUUCUGGCGGGCAUGCCUGUUCGAGCGUCAUUUCAACCCUCAAGCUCUGCUUGGUGUUGGGGCCCUACAGCUGAUGUAGGCCCUCAAAGGUAGUGGCGGACCCUCCCGGAGCCUCCUUUGCGUAGUAACUUUACGUCUCGCACUGGGAUCCGGAGGGACUCUUGCCGUAAAACCCCCAAUUUUCCAAAGGUUGACCUCGGAUCAGGUAG
rnacentral:rRNA from 1 species